GCCCUCUGCCCACCCCGCCCGAUCUCCCGAGCUCCCGGCCCCUCGGCGCGAGCGUGCGUGUGUCUGUCUAUUGCAAGCAAGGCUCGGCCUGAGGAGCUGUUCUCCUGCGGUGAUUCAGAGGCGGGGACCUAGAGAGCAAGCCCUCAGGCCAGGCCUGCAGCACGGGCCGCACCUCGGCCUGGGCGAGGCCCUGCGUUGGGUAAACCUUCGCGGAGCAACGGGACGCCGCCAUUGGCCACAGCGAGGCUUUUGCAAGGCUCCCUGGAGGAGCCGGGACCGAGAGGAGGGGCACAUAGGCUUGCGGUUCCGGAGGGAGAACGCAGGGAAAGGAGUUCCAGGAAUCGAGAGCAACAUGAGUUUGGGGAUUGAAAAAUGCACUAGGCACGCAGUGUUUCAGCUGGAAGGAGUCUGUCUAUCAGAAGAGCCAAGGAUAGUUUCUCUAUCAUUUGGUGGAAAUUUGGAAGCACCAAGAAGUUAAAAGAAUUGCCAGGGACUCCCAUAGCCCCAGCACUCAGGUCCCACAAAAGUUGGUGGGUGUCUGCAGGGUGGGAGGUGAGCUCCUUGCUGAAGGAAAAGGUCUGCUGUCAUGACAGCUUGGUCAGUGCAGGGCCCCAGACGCAGCUGCCAGGGAGGGAGGUAGACGGGGAUCCAAGAGGGAAGUCACAGCUGCCGAAGCCGGGACACUGUCCUUCCAGGAGGAGGUGGCCGGCGCUAUAAACAGGACAGGUAAACUGUGCUACAGAGACAUAAGUUACCAAGGUCACUUAAAGUGCUACAGAAACAGAAGAGCCAGCAUCUGUUCCUCUUCUGGAGAGUGUGGCAACCAGGAAGAUUUCAUGGAAGAGGCAGCAACUGAAACACAUGCACAUGCGCGCACACACACACAUACACGCCCACAUACACACACAUACACUAAACAACUGCUUAAGGCAUCUGCAGUGUGUGCCAGCCGCACAAACCUCAUGUUGGAAUAUGAAGACGAGCACCAGCACGGAUGUCCCGGAUGUAACGGGGGCGUUUCCAUAGGAACGAGUUCCUCUCUUCCUUCACUUGAUGCUGAUGAAAAUAAUAAAAAUAAAUAAAUACAUAAGUAAAUACA